GGCACAAUUAGUCCUCGAUUCUUGAAAUUGACACAUGCACAAGCAUUUAGAAGGAGGGGAGAAGGUGAAAUUGAAUCCCAUCAGCAAAUCCCCAAAAUCCUAUGAGAAAUCCUCAAAUUUUAUCCAUCAAGAAACCCUAACCUGAGGAUAAGAGAAACCUACAUCUGGUUCCCACCGACGGCCACCCAUGGCAUGAUGUUGCCGCCACGAGUUGAUGCCGGCACCCUUCUCCGAUGAGCCACAUCGGUUCACGACC
rnacentral:lncRNA from 1 species